rnacentral:rRNA from 1 species
AUGCGUAGGAAUCUACCUAGUAGUAUGGAAUAGCCAUUAGAAAUGAUGGGUAAUACUGUAUAAUCCCUGCGGGGGAAAGAUUUAUCGCUAUUAGAUGAGCCUACGUUAGAUUAGCUAGUUGGUAAGGUAAUGGCUUACCAAGGCUAUGAUCUAUAGCUGGUCUGAGAGGACGAUCAGCCACACUGGAACUGAGAUACGGUCCAGACUCCUACGGGAGGCAGCAGUGGGGAAUAUUGGACAAUGGGCGAAAGCCUGAUCCAGCUAUGCCGCGUGAGUGAAGAAGGCCUUCGGGUUGUAAAGCUCUUUC